UAUCGAGCUUUAUUUACAAGUUCAAGUUACAUAUACGGACUUAUAUUAUUGGAUGACAUUUCUAUCAGCAGCGGGAUUUGUGAUAAUUGUGGACCAGAUGAAUUCAGCUGCAAAAAGGGCCGUGACGAAUGUAUUCCCUUUAAAAGUGUUUGUGAUUCAAAGCCAGACUGUUUGUUGGGAGAAGAUGAAUUAAAUUGUAAUUUGGGCGGUAUGAAUAAUCAAUGUACGUCGAAUUUAACAAAUAAUUUCAGCGAUACACCCACGUUGACAGAGAUCAACCUAGACAUUAUAAAAAAAUUCAAAAACAGGGGCCGUUAUAUACCGGACUGGCAUUUCUGCGAGGACGGACAAAGAUGUACAGUAGAUGUUUCAGGAAAAUGUUAUUUGUUUUGUCCUGUGAAUUGUUCUUGUAAGGGUUUGACACUAAAUUGUUCUUCUGCUCAAAAUAUACCUGUUUACGCUACAUCCCUUACACUUUAUAGUUUACAACAUGUACAGUUACAUUUCAGGGGACAAGAAUUGAAUUUGAAAAAAAUUCAAAUUACUUCCUCCAAUAUCGGUUUCUUAAAUAUCGAAAAAAAAAGCUGUCAAUUUGCGUGAACUCAAAAUGAAAAACUGUGAAAUUACUCAAAUGGCGUUCAUUGAUGAUAGCAAUGACUUUUUACGCUUAUUAGAAAUAGUGUAUAGCACGUUAACAAACAUAAAAUUUUCCGAAAAAUUCCAUCAAUAUUUUGAAUUGAACAUUUAUAAUAGCUCACUGAUCUCGACAGUGUCAUUUCCUAUUAAAAUGCUUGUCGGAAACAAAGUAAAUAUGAUACAAACCCGGGGGUUUCUGGAUCUCAUCCAAAGAUUUCAUCAUCUGGUCGUAAACUUCAGUUUCUGCAAUUUAACGCAACUACCAAAAUCUUAUUUAGAAACAAUCACUUUAGAUCUUCGUCAGAACAAUUUAAGGAAUUGCAGAAUUCUGUUUUUUACUCAAAUUCUACACCUACAACAUAAUGAAUUUGAAUCCAUUGUUGUAUUUGUUGACACAAGGCAAUCCGAGGCUCGACUUCAAUACCUCGACCUCUCUUACAACAGAAUUGGACAGAUAGGAAGGAGCAAUCUUGCAGAUCUACCGAAUCUUCUCUACCUAAAGCUAAACAAAAACAUCAUUGCUUUUAUCGACGAAAAUGCGUUUUCAAAACUGGCUAAACUUAUUCAUUUGGAUCUGUCAAAUAAUUAUCUAGAUUCUUUAAAAAGAAGUCAUUUCAUGCGUCUUUCUAGUUUGCAAUUCCUCGACCUUCAGAACAACAACUUGAAGGUGGUAGAGGGAAUGUUUGAUGGUCUCGUUAGUAUUCGGUUACUGUCUGUGGAUUAUUUCACGUUAUGUUGUGCUCAGCCCAAGG